rnacentral:lncRNA from 10 species
CAGAAAAUAAUACAUGAAACAUCAUCUACUCUUUCCAUAAUAAACAUCAAGAAAUAAAAUAGCGUUCAAUAAGAAAAGACUUAAGACAUCGCCUGUCAGACAGAUGCCAGUUUGCGAGUGGAAUGGCUAAAGAGAAAUCUGCUGCACAUUUGAAGAGAGAACCUAGAGUGCAUAUCCCUACCAUGAGGAGAAAACACAGCUUAGUCUUUAUACUUUGUCAUUUAUUUAUUCAACAGAUAUUUAUUUAGACUUAUUAUGCACCAGGACCUGUUUUGUGACUAAAAACACAACAAUGAACUAACAGGGAAGGUUGCUGCCCGACUUCCGCGUCUCUUGAAAAUGAAGCAAGUCCUGCCUCCCUGCAUGGGCAAACUUCCUCAGCCCUAUAAGAUCACUGCAAGAUACUCCUAAAAGCACCUUCUAAACAAUACUUUGUGCAAUGAAUGCAAACUGUGAUUCAGCUGCACUGGGGCGGAGUCCAGGCAUCACGGUUUUAAAGCUGCCCAAGUUAGCGGAAAGUGCAGCCAGAGUUGAAAACUUGAAAACCACCGAGCACUGUUUCUUCUCUGGGUUCUUUCAUACACAUUCGUUUCUUCUUCUCAUUUGACCCACAAUAUAGUCCCUCAUACUAAAGAAAAAUGGAAAUUGGACCCAGUGAAUUAGGUGAUGCUACCAGACCCUAGCAAUCCCUGCCAAUCUCUAAACCCCCAAAGAAGACAGACUAGGGACUAGCUCGUGUGAUUCUCAGGGGAACAUAGGUGUAGCUAACCCCAUCCAUGUUCUCUAGCCAUCUGCUGCACUAAGUGCUCAGUUAGAAGAAUGGAUGAGAGUCCAUGUAGAUUGGAAGGAAAAUGCC